rnacentral:rRNA from 1 species
UGGACGAAAGUCUGACGGAGCAACGCCGCGUGAGUGAUGACGGCCUUCGGGUUGUAAAGCUCUGUUAAUCGGGACGAAAGGUCUUCUUGCGAAUAGUUAGAAGAAUUGACGGUACCGGAAUAGAAAGCCACGGCUAACUACGUGCCAGCAGCCGCGGUAAU